rnacentral:rRNA from 1 species
AGCGAACGCUGGCGGCAGGCCUAACACAUGCAAGUCGAACGGACCCUUCGGGGUUAGUGGCGGACGGGUGAGUAACACGUGGGAACGUGCCUUUAGGUUCGGAAUAGCUCCUGGAAACGGGUGGUAAUGCCGAAUGUGCCCUUCGGGGGAAAGAUUUAUCGCCUUUAGAGCGGCCCGCGUCUGAUUAGCUAGUUGGUGAGGGAAUGGCUCACCAAGGCGACGAUCAGUAGCUGGUCUGAGAGGAUGACCAGCCACAUUGGGACUGAGACACGGCCCAAACUCCUACGGGAGGCAGCAGUGGGGAAUCUUGCGCAAUGGGCGAGAGCCUGACGCAGCCAUGCCGCGUGGAUGAUGAAGGUCUUAGGAUUGUAAAAUCCUUUCACCGGUGAAGAUAAUGACUGUAGCCGGAGAAGAAGCCCCGGCUAACUUCGUGCCAGCCGCCGCCGUAAAAC